UACGUAGGGUGCGAGCGUUUAAUCGGAAUUACUGGGCGUAAAGGGUGCGUAGGCGGUUUGCUAAGACAGGUGUGAAAAUCCCCCGGGCUUAACCUGGGAAUGGCGCUUGUUACUGGCAGGCUAGAGUGUGUCAGAGGGAGGUAGAAUUCCACGUGUAGCAGUGAAAUGCGUAGAGAUGUGGAGGAAUACCGAUGGCGAAGGCAGCCUCCUGGGAUAACACUGACGCUGAGGCACGAAAGCGUGGGGGAGCAAACAGG
rnacentral:rRNA from 1 species